UGGGGGAUAUUGCGCAAUGGGGGAAACCCUGACGCAGCAACGCCGCGUGAAGGAAGAAGGUUUUCGGAUCGUAAACUUCUGUUCUUAGGGAAGAAGACAGUGACGGUACCUAAGGAGCAAGCCACGGCUAACUACGUGCCAGCAGCCGCGGUAAUACGUAGGUGGCAAGCGUUGUCCGGAUUUACUGGGUGUAAAGGGCGCGUAGGCGGGUAUAUAAGUCAGUCGUGAAAUACCGAGGCUCAACUUCGGGGCUGCGAUUGAAACUGUAUAUCUUGAGUAUCGGAGAGGAAAGCGGAAUUCCUAGUGUAGCGGUGAAAUGCGUAGAUAUUAGGAGGAACACCAGUGGCGAAGGCGGCUUUCUGGACGACAACUGACGCUGAGGCGCGAAAGUGUGGGGAGCAAACAGGAUUAGAUACCCUGGUAGU
rnacentral:rRNA from 1 species